GGGAGUGUAAUCGAGAUGGUCCUGAUACGUGACUUUGACUCACGGUACCGUAGGUUCGAGUCCUACCGCUCCUGCCA
rnacentral:tRNA from 1 species